UGCUUGCCCCCGCCGACGAGCGUAAGACGGGUGAGUAAUGCUUAGGAAUCUGCCCAGUAGUGGGGGACAACAGUCGGAAACGGCUGCUAAGACGGCAUACGCCCUACGGGGGAAAGCAGGGGAUCUUCGGACCUUGCGCUAUUGGAUGAGCCUAAGUCGGAUUAGCUAGUUGGUAGGGUAAAGGCCUACCAAGGCGACGAUCCGUAGCUGGUCUGAGAGGAUGAUCAGCCACAUCGGGACUGAGACACGGCCCGAACUCCUACGGGAGGCAGCAGUGGGCGAAUAUUGGACAAUGAGGGGCAACCCUGAUCCAGCCAUGCCGAGUGUGUGAAGA
rnacentral:rRNA from 1 species